UUUUGGACAAUGGGCGCAAGCCUGAUCCAGCCAUUCCGCGUGAGUGAAGAAGGCCUUCGGGUUGUAAAGCUCUUUCGCAAGGGACGAAAACUUACUUUCUAAUAAAGAGUGAGGUUGACGGUACCUUGAUAAGAAGCACCGGCUAACUACGUGCCAGCAGCCGCGGUAAUACGUAGGGUGCGAGCGUUAAUCGGAAUUACUGGGCGUAAAGCGUGCGCAGGCGGCUUUGUAAGUCAGAUGCGAAAUCCCCGAGCUCAACUUGGGAACUGCGUUUGAAACAACAAGGCUAGAAUAUGUCAGAGGGGGGUAGAAUUCCACGUGUAGCAGUGAAAUGCGUAGAGAUGUGGAGGAAUACCGAUGGCGAAGGCAGCCCCCUGGGAUAAUAUUGACGCUCAUGCACGAA
rnacentral:rRNA from 1 species